rnacentral:rRNA from 1 species
UACGGGGGGGCAAGCGUUGUUCGGAAUUACUGGGCGUAAAGGGUUUGUAGGUGGCUCGCUAAGUCACACGUGAAAUCCCUCAGCUUAACUGGGGAACUGCGUGUGAGACUGGCAAGCUUGAGGACAGGAGAGGAACGCGGAAUUCCAGGUGUAGCGGUGAAAUGCGUAGAUAUCUGGAGGAACACCGGUGGCGAAGGCGGCGUUCUGGACUGUUACUGACACUGAGAAACGAAAGCCAGGGGAGCAAACGGG